AACCCUCCCAAAGCAAACAGCGAUCGCUGCCGUCUGCACUGACUCAGCGGCGCUGAAGGCAGCGGUCGGAGCGAAGCCGCAGCUCGGGGAAAGCUGUGGGGAAGAGCGGGUUCUGUGCCCACGGAGGGGCGGGGAAUGCGCUGCGGUGGGCGAUGCUUUAUCAGGGCAGCCCACCCGGCAGCCGUUCGUCUCUCUGCAGUCGUAGAGCUGUGGUUGAGAGCGCUGGGGGCUUUAUCCCGAGGAGCCGAGAGGAACCUGGGCUAUCUUUAGGAAACAAGCACCCGCUCCGUGCCCCCUCUCAGGAAGCAGGGCCCCAUUCCAGCUUUGCCGUACGAGGGGCUCGCAGAUAAGGAGGGGCAGGAAACCUGCCCGGCUUUGCUUCUUUAAGCAAAUAUUUCCCAUAGCCUCAGCACCGUGAGUCAGCACUGCCGGAGCCCAGACUUGUUUGCAGCAGUAGCGAGGCGGUGUGGGAGGUGUGGGGCACGGUGUCCUUUUGCCCAAACGCCAUCGGGGAUGUCAGCAGCUGAAAUGGGGCCAACGGGGAGCAAAAGGCCCAAUGGUACUCGUGGGCUCAUUCUGCACCGACCUCACCAGUCUGCAAGCCCCAAAAACACAGGAACAAACCAAAUGCUGUGGUUUCUAUUCAAGGCCCAGGAGUGGAAUAAGGAACAUGAGCCGUGGGAUAUCCUGUGUCACUGCAGGCUGAUCUCUGCAGCAGGCAGAGGCUGCUCAGCCUGGAAGGGUCUCAUGGCAAAGGGAGGAAACAUCAGAGACGCCAUGGAUUAUUUUAGAUCUGCAACCUCAGUUCUGCAAAGCUGAAUGAUGCCCGUCCUUCGAGAACACCAACAGCGCCUCGCUCCGAAUGCCUGUGAACUCUGUGCUUUAUGCAGAGCGCUGCGUGGCGGCUGCUUAUCAUUUAAUUUGCUAUUUGCCCACCCUUCGUGUUCCAACAACUGGAGAUAAGGUGAACAGAGGUUCUCACACUGCUGUGCCUCCUGCAAUACCUUCACUGCACGCUUUCUGGUUCACUUCCUCCCACUCCUUAAUUUUGCUCCCAAAAAAGGCUCCUUUCAAUUCUUAUUCUCGUAGUCAACCACGAUUGUUCUGGACCACAUCGUGAACAUAAGAACUCCAAUAAUUACCUGCCAG